AUAAUCAGAUGGGCGAAGCAAAUUUGCCCCUUCACGCGGUCAAAGUCUUGGGAGGAUGCGAUCUAGGCGCGAUUUUCCGCUGCCGCCGGCCACCGGAAACAGAUCGGACGCGUUAAUCUGCAAGGCCUUCGGGCCUUGCUUUUUUUU
rnacentral:sRNA from 1 species